GACAGAGGAUGCAAGCGUUAUCCGGAAUGAUUGGGCGUAAAGCGUCUGUAGGUGGCUUUUUAAGUCCGCCGUCAAAUCCCGGGGCUCAACCCCGGAACUGCAUUCGAUACUGCCGCGCUAGAGUACUGGAGAGGAGAUUGGAAUUUACGGUGUAGCAGUGAAAUGCGUAGAUAUCGUAAGGAAGACCAGUGGCGAAGGCGGAUCUCUGGACAGUUACUGACACUGAGGCACGAAGGCCAGGGGAGCAAACGGG
rnacentral:rRNA from 1 species